AAUCAGCACAAACAACAACAGGUAAAAUGGCGACGACUGGGCGGAUAGGGUCGGUUAACUACACACAGAGCCUGAGUUCGCGACUGGGGCCGGUUGAAGGCACAGCGGAUGGAGUCGUGAAGAUGCGGCAGGGCGCCGUGUCGACAAAGGAUCCAAGUCAGAUGGCAAAAGAGGUAUUGUAGUUGUAGUAAUUUAGUUUUCUAGCCGGGAAAUGCACCUGGCUUACGGCUAACUGGUGCUAACUUCGGGGUAGGGCCGUUAGCCACUAUAGCCACUCGGUAGCAGCGGUGAUCCGGUGCCAAGGUCCAGAGCUUACAGCAAGAAUCCAGUGGAGUAGUGUGUUCUAGACUUGUUUGGGUGGAGUCCGGGUGAACAACUGAGUAGGCCGGGAGGUGAGCCUCAGGGAUAGCUUCAGUACAGGGUAACUCGGUGGGUGCUAGCUAGCUGUGAAGAUCAGGAGUAAUGGUCCAGGGAUUACGGCAGGAAUCCAGCGUUGUAGUGGGGAGACAGUCCGUUACUGGUAGGCUGGCGAGUAUUAUCCAGUCAAAAAAAAGGGCUGUGCAGAAGGUAAAGGCCGCUAGCAGUGGCUAACAAUGACUAAAUAGCUUGUAGCUAAUUAGCUGGUUAGCUUCUGAUGGCUAAGUGGUUCUUGCUAUAAUAAAAAAUAAUAGUGGUUCCGUAUCACAUUGGGUGAGGCAGGUUACCGGAAGAUGUAAUUGAACUAAAAUGGAGAUGAGAUUGAAAAUAAAAUGAAAUAUAUAUACAAAAAGACGAAAAAUAAAAAAGUACACGAGAGGAUGAACAAAACAUGUCUGCACUGCUACGCCAUCUUGGAAUCCAAUGGAGGAGUACCUGGGCUAUCAAAUCGGGCCGAGAAAUGUGAAGCCUCAAGAAUAAAAAUCACUGCCAUUAGGGAAUGGCCGGUGCCCCGAACCAAGAGGCAGGUGAAGUCGUUCCUGGAGUUAGCAGGCUACUACAGUUGAUUUGUACCUAACGAGCCUGCAAUAGCUUCUCCCCUCACAGACCCAAUGAAGGCACGACUACCCCAGACGGUGUGAUGGACGGAGGACACACAGGCGGCGUUCCAGGCCCUGAAGGUCCAUCUAUGUUCGCACCCGGUACUCGUCAACCCUGACUUCUCAAUACACCUCCUGGUCCGGACAGACUUGUCCCAAGAGCAAUCGGGGCUCCAGCAUGGCAAUGCGAACGCCCUUUCCAGGAGGGAUGCAAACUUAGCCCUGAACACGCCUCCCUCCUGUAGGGCUAAGGGGGGAGGUGGGUACUCCCUCUGCUGGGAGUACACGGGCUGGGCACCCCAACACGGAUGGCUCCAAUUAGAGGUAAUUAGGGGAACGUGCCAACCAGCCAGAGAGGCCACAUAAAAGGAGCACUGUGGCACACCGAGGGGGAGAACCAAGAGACCGAUACAGAGCAGAAGCUGAGAAGAAGGACCAAAGCCAAACCUACGUGAUUUCGUUGUUCUGUUUAUUUUAUUGCCUAGUAAAGUCGUGUUUGUUGACUAGAA